AACCCCUGAGCCAGACUUUCAAACAAAGCCUCAAUACAAGAAUUGGAAACUUAGAAGAUUUCCAAGAAAAAGUUCUCUGCUAGAUAAACUGACAAUGUUGCUUCAAUAGGAGUCUUUCUUGUGUUUCUCCCCUUACCAAAUUCUUGGUGCUUUAAGCUGGCCCUAAAUCUGUAGACUUUGCUCUAAAAUUUGGAGCCCCCAAAAGAGCUAUGCUAUGGUAUGUGCCAAAUUAAGUAAACUGCAAUACCUAAAUAUGAAUAUAAAUGCCUGCACAUAAAUAUCAGUUUAUUGGGCAACUUGUAACAACUUCAACAAAUGGUGUAUGACAGUAAACAUAUGGUAAUGACAUUGAAGCCAUUUUUUUGUUUGAAAAGAAAAUUACUGUUUUCUAUAGAUAAUAGCACACACAUAAUAGCAUACCCCAUCAGGCAGCCUUUCCCAUUUUGCUUUCCUUUCAAACAGAUGAGUGAUGAGAUGGAUCUUGGCACACUGGACAUUGUCUAUAUUGCAAUAAACAUUCAUGAAAACAGCAAGGCCCCUGAGGCAUUUUAAGAGCACCCACAGCACUGUCCCUCUCAGUGGCCCCAAUGAUCUUUUCUGGGUCUUGCACAUGGUGCCUGGAGAGAUCUGACAGAGGUGUGGCCCAUUAGGGGAUUUCCCAGAGCCAGCUCUGACUCUUAGAUUAUAUUCCAUUGAUGUCUAGAUCCAAGAUCUUUCCUCUCCAUGGAGGAAUUCUGAAAGUAUAUGCUCUCAGCCCAGCCUUACUGUGUCAUUCUAGAAGAAAAUUCAACCUGAUUUGCAUGGUAUUGUAACAUGGAGAUGAAAUUUCCCCACUUGCCUUAACUACUGGUGGAAACUCCUACAGCCAGCAACGAACUUUGCUUGUUCCCUUCCUGUGACCCUUAUCACAGUCUGUCUGAUGCAGAAGCCCAUGAACGUGAGACGCCAGGAAGAGUCAUCAGUGGCCAGCUUCCAGAUGAAAGGAGAGAAGAGGAAAAAGGAGAUUUUCAGAACCCAGUUGUGUUAAACAUGGUAACAGAGGAGCCUAACAGUGAAGGAGGCAAAAAAGAUAAGAGGUUCCUGCCCCUGGGGGCAAGGCAUUCAGUUGCCAGAUCAAUGCAUGGGCACAGCAAGGGAUGAACGCAGCUCUGCAGAGGCCAGACGACCCACUGGGGUAGUGAGCAGCCCUGAAGUGCCAAUGCUGUUCCAAGUCCUGGGCCAGUUACAACUACAACCCCCGCCCCGUCCCUGGCCCACUGUCUAGUGGGGGAGGGGGUGACCAUGAGAGAGCAAAUAGUCAUACUGCUACGGAAGCACAGAGCUGGUUCCACGCAGACAGAUCCUGGAAGAUGUUCCCAGACAGACGCCAUGUCUGCCAGGUCCUGAAGUGGGAGAGGGCUCCCAGGAACUUGCUGCCAUUGGGCAGAACUGGCGGGGAUGGUGGGGGGAGGAAGGGAAGUUUGGAAACUCUUCAGGACGUAACAUGGAGAAGACUGGACACCAAAUGGUUGUGGGAGUGAAGGUCGGACAAGGUCAAAGGCGGCCCCGAGCCUCUUGGGAAACCAGGAUGUACUGACUGAGGAGCUGGUAGACAUUCUAACAGCAGGUCUCCGCCACCGCCCGCCCGUCAAUUGCCCCUCCAUUCACCUUGCCGUCCAGACAGUGCUGGGGAGACACAAAGCAUCUUGAGUACUUCCUCAUUACCUCAUGGCAGUGAAAAGAAGAUGGAUUUUCCACCGCCUACUUCUUUCUCCAGUGGGUAAACAUAGAGCGUCCUCAGCGCUUCUGCAAGAGCAGGAGUUUGAAAAAUGCAGUGAGCUCAAUCGUGCAAGCUCCUGAACAGACAGCUGGAAGACCCGUUUGUAUUUGGCCAAGCGAUCUUCAGAAAGGAGAGAUGUGGCCUUCCUCGAAAAGGCUAUCUUCUAGAAAUCUCGACUUCCCCAAAAUUAGCCUGACCCACUGGCGGAGUUGCCUGCCUGUGUUGGGGAGAUGGCUAGACUUGAGUCAGUGUGGUCUUUUUUGGUUUUUUGCUGAGGAAGAUUUGCCCUGAGCUAACAUCCAUGCCAAUCUUCCUCUAUUUUUUUUUUUUUUUAGUAUGUGGGCUGCCAGCACAGGAUGGCUGCUAACAUAUUGGUGUAGGUCCAUCCCUGGGAACCAAACCUGGGCCACCAAAGCAGAGUGUGCUGAACUUAACCACUAGGCCACCGGGGCUGGCCCAGUGCAGUCUUUACCUGUUUACUAGAUCCUGGGUGCUGGGAGGGAGACUGCGUGUAGCUUGGGAACGUUACGGGGAGGAAGUAAUAGAAAAGCAUAACGUGGAAGUAACCAUUGCUAGAAUCCUCAUUUGCACCCACAGAUAGGCUGUAAAACUGCCUUUGAGCCCAUGGAGAUGGGUAUUAAACACAGUCAUUCUUCACUGGUAUUGCCAUCGUGUGCAUGUGUGUGUGCGCACACGCGCGCGUCUAACGUCAUUUCUGCAGCUGGUGGGGCCCAGGCUGAGGCAGAGAGUUCACACAGCAGGAAGACUGUCUUGCCUCAGUCGCUUGGAAAAAGAGAAAAGAGGGCAGAAAGCCACAACUCAACAAAAAAGAAUCUUCUAAAAGCGAGAAAGACGUUUUAAGAGAGCUCUUUUGACAUAGAACUCAGGAAGGACAACUCGUUUGUUGAGGCCGUCGGCUCAGUGUCCUGCUACCAGAAAGCCCAGUGAAAUACUGCAUAGUACUGGAAAGAUUUUGGAAACAAAAUUCAAUUCUGCAAA